rnacentral:rRNA from 1 species
AUACGGAGGGUGCAAGCGUUAUCCGGAUUCAUUGGGUUUAAAGGGUGCGCAGGCGGAUAUUUAAGUCAGUGGUGAAAUCCCGGGGCUCAACCUCGGAACUGCCAUUGAUACUGAAUAUCUGGAAUACGGUUGAAGUGGGCGGAAUGUAGCAUGUAGCGGUGAAAUGCAUAGAGAUGCUACAGAACACCGAUCGCGAAGGCAGCUCACUAAGCCGAUAUUGACGCUCAGGCACGAAAGCGUGGGUAGCAAACAGGAUUAGAAACCCUAGUAGUCC